GGUGCAUAUGAUGGUAAUAGCGAUCAAAGUAUGAAAAGAAUGAUUCCAACUUAUAUUCACUGAUGCACU
ensembl:snoRNA SNORD4A small nucleolar RNA Z17